rnacentral:rRNA from 1 species
AGCAGCCGCGGUAAUUCCAGCUCCAAUAGCGUAUAUUAAAGUUGUUGCAGUUAAAAAGCUCGUAGUUGAAUUUCGGGAUCAAUAUGUUGGUCGUGCCUCGGUACGUACUAGCAUAUUGGUUUCUCCUUUCUGAAGAACCAUGAUGUCAUUUAUUUGGUGUCGUGGGGAAUCAGGACUGUUACUUUGAAAAAUUAGAGUGUUUAAAGCAGGCUCACGCUUGAAUACAUUAGCAUGGAAUAAUGAAAUAGGACGUUUGAUUCUAUUUUGUUGGUUUCUAGGAUCGACGUAAUGAUUAAUAGGGAUAGUUGGGGGCAUUAGUAUUCAAUUGUCAGAGGUGAAAUUCUUGGAUUUAUUGAAGACUAACUACUGCGAAAGCAUUUGCCAAGGAUGUUUUCAUUAAUCAAGAACGAAAGUUAGGGGAUCGAAGACGAUCAGAUACCGUCGUAGUCUUAACCAUAAACUAUGCCGA